GGCUGGGCUGGCCGAGCAGUGCGCGCCGGGGGCUGACGGGGCAGAGCGCACGACGCCGCCUACGCGCGAGCUGCAACCUCCUACCGUCGUCGCCGCCAGCACAGGAGGGGGGCCAAGACGUCUCUCCAACGGGGGGCUAGCGCAGGACCGCGUCAGGCGUCCAAAAGAAGGAAGAUGCCUCGCGGCGACAGAGAAAGCGACUGGAGGGAAAAGGAGCAGUUCCGCAAACUGUUUAUUGGUGGCUUAAGCUUUGAAACAACAGAGGAAAGCUUGAGAAGUUACUAUGAGCAAUGGGGAAAGCUUACAGACUGUGUGGUAAUGAGGGAUCCCGCAAGCAAAAGAUCAAGGGGGUUUGGUUUUGUAACAUUCUCCUCCAUGGCUGAAGUUGAUGCAGCUAUGGCUGCAAGACCUCACACGAUUGAUGGAAGGGUGGUUGAGCCCAAGAGAGCUGUGGCUAGAGAGGAAUCUGGAAAACCUGGUGCUCAUGUUACUGUGAAAAAACUAUUUGUUGGUGGUAUUAAGGAGGACACUGAAGAGCACCACCUUCGUGACUACUUUGAGGAAUAUGGAAAAAUUGACACUAUUGAAAUCAUUACUGACAGACAGUCUGGUAAAAAGAGAGGGUUUGGAUUUGUUACAUUUGAUGACCAUGAUCCUGUGGAUAAAAUUGUAUUGCAGAAGUAUCACACCAUUAAUGGCCAUAAUGCAGAAGUAAGGAAAGCUCUCUCUAGACAGGAAAUGCAGGAGGUUCAAAAUUCAAGGAGUGGGAGAGGAGGGAACUUCGGUUUUGGUGAUGCACGUGGAGGUGGUGGCAACUUUGGUCCAGGACCUGGCAGCAAUUUCAGAGGGGGAGCUGGUAAGACAGAUGGAUAUGGAAGUGGCCGUGGAUUUGGUGAUGGGUAUAAUGGAUAUGGUGGAGGACCUGGAGGUGGCAACUUUGGUGGCAGUCCUGGUUACGGAGGAGGAAGAGGAGGAUAUGGUGGAGGAGGACCUGGAUAUGGCAACCAGGGUGGGGGCUAUGGAGGUGGCUAUGACAACUAUGGAGGAGGCAAUUACGGAAGUGGAAACUAUAAUGAUUUUGGAAACUAUAACCAGCAACCUUCAAAUUAUGGUCCAAUGAAAAGUGGAAAUUUUGGCGGCAGCAGGAACAUGGGGGGACCAUAUGGUGGAGGAAACUAUGGUCCAGGGGGCAGUGGAGGAAGUGGUGGAUAUGGAGGGAGGAGCCGUUACUGAGUUUCUGCAAGCAUGCCAUGGAUCUUUUAGAUGCUGCUUCUUCAAUGGCAAGGAAAGGAAAUAUCCCCAGCGAGGUACUCUUCCAGGGACACAGGUCUAGUACAAGAGAACUCUUGAAAACGUCACUAAGUUCAGCCAGUCUUAAAAAGCUGCGCUGUAUUUCUGCAAAGCUUUAACUACAGUAGUUUAUAAGGAUGCCAACGAAGGCUGAGGGUGUAGAGCAAAAUAGUUCUAAGCUUCAGUUAAACUUCUUUAGCUAUGAUAUGAACCCUGGACAAGCAUAGACUGCUGCCACUGUACACUGCUACAGUUGAACAAAUGAGACCUGCAAGUGUCCAUUAGUAAAGCUUUGCAAGGGUUCCAUCCCUGGUGUUGGUAGUUAAAAUGGAAGGUGCCAUGCUGCAGGUAACUAAUGAAGAAGUGGUCAACCACAGAAACGCUUCAAGAAAUAAGAAAUUCUGUAUCAUCAGAAAAUAGUUGUUUUUGCUGCCUUCAUUAAAAAUCUAGAGGUUAAAUGAAUACUGAUAAAACAUCACAAUUAGUACAGCUCCCUGUAAUGCUGGGUUUUUUAAAUUACAGUAAUAAUGUCUUGUAAACCUUUCGAAUAAAAUUAAGAUUCGUUAGGAGAAACAAAUCACUAAUGUUAAAAUAGCAACCAUUCUGUGAGUAGAAAGUUUAACUACAUAUUUUUAUAACUUUCAUAGCUUUAAAAUAAAGUAUUUUUUAUACCAAAGUAGUUCUAGUGUAAUGCUUAAUAAAACUUAGUGUGUGUCUAACAUUAAAUAAUGUUUAUGUGCAGCUUUUAGACCCUUUCAUGAUUUGAAACAUUCAAUUUUGAGGUGGAUUUAAAACAAAGUCAACUUGGCAAGUGCAUUCACAGAACUUGUAUCUCUGACCAUAGGCAUCUGUUCUCUGUUGGGAGAAACAGUGCUACAAAUUAAAAAUGCUGAUCUUUUUGCUGUUGGACACAAUUGCUUUAAAAUAGCUUUUUGACUGUGUUUUAUAUCACUUUAUAAAAAUAUCUCCUCCUUUCCUGUUAAUGAAACUAACCACUUAAGACAGUUUGUCAAAAUGUGAUAGGACAAUAGCUUUAUCCUUUCCACCUGUAAAGAGUUUUUAGUAUCAAGAGAGAAAGACUUGAAUGGAAUGUAGAGUUCCUGCUGUACCAGAACUGUGUACUGAUAGCUGCAUCUUCUGGGGAAAAAAAAAAAAAACCAAAACCAAAACAACAACAACAACCAUCCCCCAAAAACUGCACAACCCCACCCCACUCCACCCCCCCGAAACAAAACCCCACCAAACCAAACUCCAAGCGUGAGCUUGGGAAAGCUUCAGUUGGGAAUGUAUUUGAGGGAAGGUAUCUUCCGUCUGUACUGUUUUAACCUGUUACCUACAUACACAGUUUAUUCUAAACUUGAAAUUUAUAUGUUCAGCUUUGGCAGAAUCAUAGUGUCUUUAACCUUCUUUAUAUGAUUCAUUAUUAUUUAAGGGUUCACAUAUGAUUUUUUUUUUUCUGUUUCUGAAGUUAAACUUUGAAAUAUUUGCAUAGGUAACCAGCGGGCUGCAACGGAAGCAGAAAAUGAAGAUGGCGCAAAAUCUGCUUUACUUUCUUCUUUCCAACAGAAUGAGUUGACCAUCUGAUCAGGAAUUUGCCUUCUUCCCUGUAACUUAGAUUUAGUUGAUGGAAGUUUUUCUUUACAGUUGCCAAGUCCACGUUCAUGUGACAUAAAAAAAAGCACUUCAAAGGGAAAUAAUUCUUCUCUUUUUCUGUUUGAGAUACUUAUAUUCUUUCAGUAGUUUUACAACACGGUUUAAAAUUUACUUGAAUUAAGUACAUUAUAUUUUCCAUGAGGAUGUUUUAACUUCGAUCUACUGGUGAUGGGGCAAGGGAAUGUAUAGGUAACAGCAGUAUGCAAAAACUAAAUUACUGGAUAUUUAAAAGUUUUGAAAUCUUGGAUUAUUUGAGUAAGUUUCUUGUUGUCUUACUGUUGAACUUUCAUGACUUUUCUUUCUUGGUUUGUUCUUAAGAAUUAAAACAAGUGACAAUCACAGUGUUUACUGAUGAAUUCAGUGAGAGAAGUCGCCGUUUUGAGUCAACCUGAUACUGAAAGCUAGCAACUUUGAAUAAAAACAACAGUGUGUGGUCAAUUAUUGGUCCUCAAUUUGUAGACAAUGUAUGCUUUUCAUCUUUUAAUUUCUAAGAAGUUGGUUUUUUGUCACUCUACAGACUUUGUUUUCAAAGUAAGGGUAACAUUGCUGGUCAGUAUGUUUCAGUGUACUGAGGGAUCAGGUUGUCAGUACUAGGCCAAGCUUGCCCCCAGCAAACAUUUUCUGCAGCAAACUGAGCUAAGAAUGUGAAAGACAACAUGACUUGUUGGUAACUGGUACGGGAGCAAAAAACUACAGUGUAUGACUUGCAUUUAUAAAGUGGUGGUGAAGAGAAGUCAAUACCAGGGUUCUGGCCACUCAGACUUUGUGUUCUCCUGUGUUACUUACAAAGAAAGUUGAAUUUUAUUCACUUCUAUUGUGCUUCAGGUGCUGAAAAUUGUUUAGGAGAAUGUGAAAAAUUGCUCUUAAUACUGUAAAAUUAGCAGGAAAUGAACUUUGUUGUUUGUGGAGAAGAUGAUUGCAUUCUUCUAAUUCUGUGAUGAAUGUACAUACUACCUUGGGGAUGAAAUCAUACUACUUCUGGGGAAGAAAAACCCCCCAAAAACAUAGAUCUGAAUUUUGAAGGAGCUGUCAGCUGAGUGUUUUGGCAGCUUGACCACAUUUGUGAAAGGAUGAUUUGCCAAGAACAUACUGGAACAGUACAUCCCUUGUAGCUUUAGGGUUUCAGUUUGUUUUCAAAGCAGAGUGCAUGAUGCAAGUAAAAUCCUGUAGUAGUGGUGUUAAUUUUUUUUUUUUUUUUUCCUCCUAAGGGAGAUGCCAGGUUCUCUUCUCAUUUAUACAGCGAUACCGGUAGGAAUGCAUAGGAGUGUAAUAUGGAAGGCUUUUCCUGCAUAACGUUGAUCUAUUUUGCCAGAAGUCAUACUGUCCCUUUUAACAGUUGUGUUCUUGCUUUGCAGCUAGUGUUGAUCUGCAUUGCAGUAGAAGUUUCAGUGUUGUCCGAAGUUAUUCCAGUUAAGGUAGCAAGAAUUGGUUUAUUUAUCAACAGUAAAAGUAAACAGUGUUUAACUUUAGAUGGCUAUGUGACUUGCCUGACAGUGCUAUGAGCAUACUAGGUCAACAGUGUUUGGGGACCAUGUAGUUUACAAACUGGCUUGUGUGACCUUCCAUCCUGUGCUUCAUUGUAUGAACAAGGUGACUGUGGGCAAGUCCUAGAAAAUGGUUGUUCCCCCUAAGUUCUCACCAACACAUGAUUCCCACACCCCCCACUUCUUCUUUGGUCUGUUCUUUCUUGGUCGUUUUGGGGGCAUUCUUGUGCGAAAAUCAAUGGCUGAUUUAACGGGGUUCUGGUAGCUGUGUAGCAGGUAUGAAGUUGCAGUGCCUUUAUGGAGGUGUGCUACGGUAAUAAGACUUCACAUGGUUAUGUGUCAUCUCUAUUUGGUUUAUUUAAUAAAUAGUUUUUCACUAGAA